rnacentral:rRNA from 1 species
UUGGAGGGCAAGUCUGGUGCCAGCAGCCGCGGUAAUUCCAGCUCCAAUAGCGUAUAUUAAAGUUGUUGCAGUUAAAAAGCUCGUAGUUGAAUUUCGGGGUCAGUAGGCUGGUCGUGCCACAGGUAUGUACUGGUCUCACUGAUUCCUCCUCCCUGAUGAACCGUAAUGCCAUUAAUUUGGUGUUGCGGGGAAUCUGGACUGUUACUUUGAAAAAAUUAGAGUGUUUAAAGCAGGCUAACGCUUGAAUACAUUAGCAUGGAAUAAUGAAAUAGGACGAUCGAUCCUAUUUUGUUGGUUUCUAGGAUUGACGUAAUGAUUAAUAGGGAUAGUUGGGGGCAUUAGUAUUCAAUUGUCAGAGGUGAAAUUCUUGGAUUUAUUGAAGACUAACUACUGCGAAAGCAUUUGCCAAGGAUGUUUUCAUUAAUCAAGAACGAAAGUUAGGGGAUCGAAGACGAUCAGAUACCGUCGUAGUCUUAACCAUAAACUAUGCCGACUAGGGAUCGGAUGAUGUUAAUUUUUUAAUGACUCAUUCGGCGCCUUACGGGAAA